rnacentral:lncRNA from 1 species
GGGGUUACUUCUACCACGUGUUAAUUAGGUAAAAAGGGAUAUAUAGGCUCCAAAGUAGUAGCUAACAGUUAUAUAAACCCUUCAAUAUUUUUUUUUACAUCCAAAUAAAUUAUUCAAUUAUUAAAAUAAAUUAAAGUAUGUGUUAAAAAUAAAUCAAAGAUGUAUUGGCCAUAUCCUUCAAAUUUUAAAAGGUAGAAUAUUUGAUUUCUGCGAUUAUUAGUUUUUAUAAUAUAAAAUGUCAGAGUUAAUUAUAGCAUUUUCUAAGAAUUGCGAGUUAUGUUGAGUUCUUGAAAUUAAUAUGAUCAAUAAGAUCUGAAACCAUAAACACAUUUUGGUAAUUCUGUUGAGUUUUUGAAUAUCGAACCUUUCCAAUUGUGGAAUCCAAAGAUAUUCCCAAAUCAUGGUACUUGUCCCAUCUCCUAUAUUUACCCUCACUCCAUCCUGCAAGACUUCCCAUCCUGUAGGAAGUCAUUCCAAAUCCACGAUCCCUUCUUUGAUCUUCCAGCAUGCCAAAAAUCAUAAUUUGAGAAAUAAAAACCCUUUAACGAUCUUACCCAUAAACAUGAAGGGUUAUUAAUUAAUCUCCAGCAUUGCUUUCCCAGACAGGCUAAAUUAAACAAUGGAAGUCCUUAAAACCCAUACCUCCUUUAUCUUUUGAAUUAAAAAGCUGCUUUCAACUCACUCAAUGUAUCUUCUUUUCAGCUUCUUUCCUUCCCCACCAAAAAUUAGAUACCAUAUUG